GAUGAACGCUGGCGGCGUGCCUAACACAUGCAAGUCGAGCGAAGCACUUACUUGAUUUCUUCGGAUUGAAGGUAUAGUGACUGAGCGGCGGACGGGUGAGUAACGCGUGGGUAACCUGCCUCAUACAGGGGGAUAACAGUUAGAAAUGACUGCUAAUACCGCAUAAGACCACAGCACCGCAUGGUGCGGGGGUAAAAACUCCGGUGGUAUGAGAUGGACCCGCGUCUGAUUAGCUAGUUGGUAAGGUAAGGGCUUACCAAGGCGACGAUCAGUAGCCGACCUGAGAGGGUGACCGGCCACAUUGGGACUGAGACACGGCCCAAACUCCUACGGGAGGCAGCAGUGGGGAAUAUUGCACAAUGGGGGAAACCCUGAUGCAGCGACGCCGCGUGAGUGAUGAAGUAUUUCGGUAUGUAAAGCUCUAUCAGCAGGGAAGAAAAUGACGGUACCUGACUAAGAAGCACCGGCUAAAUACGUGCCAGCAGCCGCGGUAAUACGUAUGGUGCAAGCGUUAUCCGGAUUUACUGGGUGUAAAGGGAGCGUAGACGGAGAGGCAAGUCUGAUGUGAAAACCCGGGGCUCAACCCCGGGACUGCAUUGGAAACUGUUUUUCUAGAGUGUCGGAGAGGCAAGUGGAAUUCCUAGUGUAGCGGUGAAAUGCGUAGAUAUUAGGAGGAACACCAGUGGCGAAGGCGGCUUGCUGGACGAUGACUGACGUUGAGGCUCGAAAGCGUGGGGAGCAAACAGGAUUAGAUACCCUGGUAGUCCACGCCGUAAACGAUGACUAAUGGGUGUCGGGUGGCAAAGCCAUACGGUGCCGCAGCAAACGCAAUAAGUA
rnacentral:rRNA from 1 species